rnacentral:lncRNA from 1 species
GCACCAUUGCACUCUAGCCUGGGUGACAGAGCAAGACUCCACCUUAAAAAAAAAAAAAUUGAAAUAGCAGUUGUGGUUCCCAGGCUAGCCUCAAGACUGCCAGUACCGUGACUGCGGCCAGGCACUGAACUUUGGGCCCUGCAUGCAUGCUCUCAUUUCUUCCCAUUUCAGAUGGCCACCAUUAUUUCUGUUUUAUGGGAGAGGUCUGUUGGCAAAGAGUCGGCCACCCAGAUUUACCACAUUUCUCUGCAGAACACUCUUUUGUUCAAUAUAAGCAGAGACCUUCCACCGGGGGCAGGAUUUGUGGUGAGUCCAAUACCCCUUUGUACUUGAUGAGUUUCUGGAUGCCUUUUGAGUCCAGCUCAUGUGGGUGCUAUUUGCAGUUAAAUUAAAAUGUUUGGGAAUGGGAUGGAAGGGAGAGAGAGGGAGUUAUAAGAAAGGAGGUGUAGAAUGCUGUCUUAGCCAAGACUUAAGACAAUUGGCACAAAGAUCCCGCCUAGUGGAGGAGAGCUGUGAAAUUGUGGCCUCUACCAAUGCUGAGUUUAGCCUUGAUACCCUCUCCCCUCCCUCCCUCCUUCCCACCCACAGCCUUCUUUUUGCCCUGGGCCUUUUCUCUUUCAUCCUAUUUCCUUGUCUUGGCAUGAAACCUGGGCCCCUGGCUGUCAGUACCUUCAGAGUGUUUGAAACUACCAGCUGAAACCUUUCUCCUAACAAGAUAAGAACCUUCUGCUGGUGCCUUCUGAAAACCCAGAUAGGACUGAGAACUGACCUGUUUAACUCAUCAACUCCUUAUUAGAUACCUGCAGUGAGCCAAGGACCAGGCUAGUUCCUGUGAUGCUGAAGAUGUUGAAGGGAAGCCCAUAACAUUACAACGUUGACCAAUCCUCCAGAAAAGAAGCUCUAACAGAGGACCCUGGCUGUCUACGGGGUUGGUAGAGUCCCCAGGAGUUCUUCAGGGACAGGCAGUCAAGGACAGCUGGUGCCCAGAGCCUCCCUGGCUUGCCCACUGGGCAGCUCCAGGGACAACUUGACCUGCCCAAUCAAAGCCAAAGGUCAGAACAGGAGGCAGAACCUCGCCCGGCCCUCUUCAAACUCCAAGGGAAAGCCUGUUCCUUGGAUCCUUUCAGAAAUAAAAACAAAAUGACA